rnacentral:rRNA from 1 species
GGAGGGCGCAAGCGUUGUUCGGAAUCAUUGGGGCGUAAAGCGCGUGUAGGGCGGGCUUGGUAAGUCGGGUGUGAAAGCCCGGGGCUCAACCCCGGAACUGCAUUCGAAAUUGCCUCGCUAGAGUCCCGGAGAGGAGGGCGGAAUUCCCGGUGUAGAGGUGAAAUUCGUAGAUAUCGGGAGGAACCCCAGCGGCGAAGGCGGCCCUCUGGACGGUGACUGACGCUGAGACGCGAAAGCGUGGGGAGCAAACAGGAUUAGAUACCCUGGUAGUCCACGCCGUAAACGUUGGGUGCUAGGUGUCGCGGGUAUUGACCCCUGCGGUGCCGUCGUUAACGCAUUUAGCACCCCGCCUGGGGAGUACGGUCGCAAGGCUA